AAGACUAUUCCGGAUGGAUGGCUAUACGUCAAGGAGAAAUUAUUAUAAUUACAAGCCAAUUUAUCUAUUUUGAUAAAAGAUUUCUAUAGAAAUUUGAUGUAAUGUAAAAUAACCUCUUAGAGAAAUUAAAUAGCAAACGAAGUGAAUUGAAAUAUCUUAUUAACUUCAGGAAUAUAAAUCAAAUGAGAUUCUACGAUUAAUGUGAAUAAAAGUAGUAGUAGCCUUUAGUUUAAAAUUUAAAUACUUUAUACUUAUAUACAAAUAUUAUAAGUACACAAGUCUAAAUGAAAUAAUUGAAAUAAUUAAAAUGAAAUGUUAUUUUGUUUGAAUAUAGGGGAACCUUCCUCUAAGGCUAAAUAUGGUGUAUAAGCGAUAGUGAAAAGUACCGUGAGGGAAAACCUAUAAAAGAGUAGUUUUAUAAGCAGCUCACGUUUAGUUUAAAAUAAACUAGAGCGUACCUUUUGCAUAAUGGGUCAGCAAGUUAAUAUUAGAUGCGAGCAUUUUUUGCUUAGAAAAUUCGGUUAUGAACAAAUGAGUAAGUAUCUAAAAUUAGACCCGAAACCUAGUGAUUUUACCAUGAUCAGGAUUAUAAAAGUCCGAACGGGUUAUCGUUGCAUAGAUAUCCGAAGAAUCAUGGUAGGUUGGUGAAAGACAAAACUGACUAGGAUAGCUGGUUUUCCGCGAAACCUAUUUGAGUAGGUAGUUUAAACAAUAUCUUAGCAGGUACAUAAUCGGUUCUCUGACAAAAUAGCUUUUAAAGCUAUUUUGUGCACAUCGGGGGGCUUGUGAGAGCAAUACCGGUGAGUAGUCGUAAUCGGAAGGGCAAAGAUUAUAGUUACAUAUGUGUGGUAAUGUAUAUAUGUAUAUAUGUAUGUAUCUAUAUUAUUUUGAACAAUCAGACAUAGUACGCUAAGGUUGUAUGUCUAAAGGGAAACAGCCCAUAACAAGAGAUAAUAAGGUUCCAAAAUUAUUAUUAAGUGAAUUGAAGGAAGUUAUUAUUCAACACGGCCAGGAGAUAGGCUUAGAAGCGGCCAUUUUUUGAAGAUCUCGUAACAGAGCACUGGUUAAACAAUAAAGUUUAAUGGCGCCGAAAAUUCUACGGAUCUAAAUAAUAUACCGACACCUUGUUCAUACAUACAUAAAUAGAAUUUUAGUUUUUUCUUUUUCAUCGUAUGCAUGAGGUAGCGGGACGCUGAGGAAAUUUAGGAAGUUUUCUUUUAAAGGAAAAAUAUUUAAAUAACUCAAGUGACAAUGCUGGCAUGAGUAACGAAAAAGGAUAAUAAUAAAAUGUACAUAUUUUAUUAACCUCGCCUAAAGCUUAUGUUUAGUUAAAAGUAACGGUCUCUAAGUUUAUAACCCUAAAGGGCUGAACAAUGAUAUACAUCUAGUGUACAUGUAAAACCUUUAUUAACUAUAUUUCACGAAAAGAAUGUGUGGUUUUUGUUUUACUAGAAGCUGAACAGAUGAUUUAACGUUUAACAUAAACAAUACCUUUUAGUAAGUAUAGUUAAAAGUGAGAAGCGUUCUGGAAAAAAGUGUAUAUUUAUAACACCGUGACUAAAAACUUUGAAGGUAAGCUAGUGUAGAAUACGAAGGCGUAGAGUUACCAAUCAUUAAGGAACUCGGCAAAUUGACUUGCGUAACUUCGGGAUAAGCAGAGCCAUUCCUCUCGAUUGAUAUCGAGUAAAGAAGAGGAGGCAUAGAAUAGUGUUGUACGACUGUUUAAUUAAAACAAAGCACUUUGCAUAAGAUGAAAAUCAAAGUAUUGAGUGUGAUAUCUGCCCUCUAUCGGCUGGUUAACGGUAUUUGCUUAACCGACUAAAGUAGGUUAGGCUUUGAAGGAACCCCCGAUCAAUGGCGGUCUUAACUAUAAGGAUCCUAAGGUAGCGAAAUACCUUGGCCGUUAAAUGCGGUCCUGCAUGAAUGAUGUCACGAUACAACAGCUGUCUCAAUGAUUGACUCAGUGAAAUUAUAAUAACUGUGCAGAUACAGUUUACCUCUAGUUAGACGAGAGUGCGACCAGAAAAGUGUUUAAUAGUAAUGAGGUGUAAUCCCUCCUUGCAGUCCAUUGCAUGAGCUCAUACGGCAUGCAUAGAAAGAAAUUUUUGUGUGUGAAGCCCGUUAAAUUCCAUCCUAUAUUGAGUUAUACUCUAGGAUGGUGAGCUAUAUUACCAAGGAUAAAAAUAUUUUUGAAUUCACGUUUGAAGCGUAACUAGAUACCGUGUUUAUAAUGGUAUUAUUAUCGAUAGCAAAAACAAGUUCUCGUUUGUUCUUUUAUGGGCCUAUGUAGAUAAUCCUACAAAUCGAUAAACGUGUAGUGGAAUCCUAAAGUAAUUACAAAAGUACUAUUAAAUAAACUGGGUAAGCCCAAUAAGACCCAAUGUAUCGUUAAUUCGGAUAUUGGAAGUUUAAUCGUAAGAUUAAAUACAUCUUAGUGGGUAAAGGAUGUUCUAAAAAGCUAACGCCAUGAUGUAAUGUCUUGGAUAGGUUUUAUAACUAGUCUGAAAGGAUGCUGACUUAGAACUAGCUUUUAUAUACGUGUAAAAAAACAAAAGCUUGUUAGUUUAAUGAUUAUACUCUUGUUAAGUCAAGAGUGCAAAUCCGAGUCUUGCACAAGCUCCUUUUCUUAAUGAUCGUCUAGACAAUCAUUAUAUAAACAGAAAAAUAAACGAAUACACAUUUUAAAUGUAUUCAUACACGUAAAUAAAAGCCUGAGCCGUAUGCGAUGAAAGUUGCACGUACGGUUCUUGGAGGGGGAAGUUUUAGUAAUAAAAUGACCUAUCUCAACAGACCCUUUGCAGCUUU
rnacentral:rRNA from 1 species